CCCCGUGUGGCUCAGUUGGUAGAGCAUGGUGUUUGCAACGCAGUUGGUAGAGCAUGGUGUUUGCAACACCAGGGUUGUGGGUUCGAUUCCCACGGGGG
rfam:Salmo salar isolate Sally breed double haploid chromosome ssa26, whole genome shotgun sequence.